rnacentral:rRNA from 1 species
AGAGUUUGAUCCUGGCUCAGAUUGAACGCUGGCGGCAGGCUUAACACAUGCAAGUCGGGCGGAGAUGAGGUGCUUGCACCUUAUCUUAGCGGCGGGCGGGUGAGUAAUGCUUAGGAAUCUGCCUAUUAGUGGGGGAUAACAUUCCGAAAGGAAUGCUAAUACCGCAUACGUCCUACGGGAGAAAGCAGGGGAUCUUCGGACCUUGCGCUAAUAGAUGAGCCUAAGUCGGAUUAGCUAGUUGGUGGGGUAAAGGCCUACCAAGGCGACGAUCUGUAGCGGGUCUGAGAGGAUGAUCCGCCACACUGGGACUGAGACACGGCCCAGACUCCUACGGGAGGCAGCAGUGGGGAAUAUUGGACAAUGGGGGGAACCCUGAUCCAGCCAUGCCGCGUGUGUGAAGAAGGCCUUAUGGUUGUAAAGCACUUUAAGCGAGGAGGAGGCUACUGAGACUAAUACUCUUGGAUAGUGGACGUUACUCGCAGAAUAAGCACCGGCUAACUCUGUGCCAGCAGCCGCGGUAAUACAGAGGGUGCGAGCGUUAAUCGGAUUUACUGGGCGUAAAGCGUGCGUAGGCGGCUUUUUAAGUCGGAUGUGAAAUCCCCGAGCUUAACUUGGGAAUUGCAUUCGAUACUGGGAAGCUAGAGUAUGGGAGAGGAUGGUAGAAUUCCAGGUGUAGCGGUGAAAUGCGUAGAGAUCUGGAGGAAUACCGAUGGCGAAGGCAGCCAUCUGGCCUAAUACUGACGCUGA